AUGCUUCUCCUAAAGACUAAGCCAUGCAUGUCUCCGAAUAAGAGGAAGCAAUUCUCUCUGAAUCUGCGAACGGCUCCGCAAACCAGUUGUAAACCAUAGCAGUGUUCCGCCCGGCUUCAGCAAUGGGGUCGGGCAUUAUAUGGAUAACCGUGGUAAUUCUGAGGCUAAUACAUGACACACUAACCUGGCGGGCUGGGGCAACCCGGCUUGCUGGGGGACGCGCGAAAUCAGCAAUGCUAUAACGAACAUCGGGAAUGAGCG
rnacentral:rRNA from 1 species